GAUGAACGCUAGCGGCAGGCCUAAUACAUGCAAGUCGAACGGUGUCUUCGGACAUAGUGGCGCACGGGUGCGUAACACGUAUGCAACCUACCUUACAUUGGGGGAUAGCCUUUCGAAAGGGAGAUUAAUACCGCAUAAGACAGUAACUAGGCAUCUAGUAGCUGUUAAAGAUUUAUCGAUGUAAGCUGGGCAUGCGUCCAAUUAGCUAGUUGGUGAGGUAACGGCUCACCAAGGCAAUGAUUGGUAGGGGAACUGAGAGGUCAAUCCCCCACACUGGCACUGAGAUACGGGCCAGACUCCUACGGGAGGCAGCAGUAGGGAAUAUUGGGCAAUGGACGCAAGUCUGACCCAGCCAUGCCGCGUGCAGGAUGAUGGCGUUAUGCGUUGUAAACUGCUUUUAUACAGGAAGAAACGACUCUUGCGAGAGGCAUUGACGGUACUGUAUGAAUAAGCACCGGCUAACUCCGUG
rnacentral:rRNA from 1 species